rnacentral:sRNA from 1 species
CCGAACUUCGGCCACUCGUCAGCGCACGC